GACGUAGGGCGCGAGCGUUGUCCGGAUUUAUUGGGCGUAAAGAGCUCGUAGACGGCUUGUCGCGUCGACCGUGAAAACUUGGGGCUCAACCCCAAGCCUGCGGUCGAUACGGGCAGGCUCGAGUUCGGUAGGGGAGACUGGAAUUCCUGGUGUAGCGGUGAAAUGCGCAGAUAUCAGGAGGAACACCGGUGGCGAAGGCGGGUCUCUGGGCCGAUACUGACGCUGAGGAGCGAAAGCGUGGGGAGCGAACAGG
rnacentral:rRNA from 1 species